ACAAACUCAAGUCAAGCAUCUUAUGUUGUACAGUGAUGUAGAAUGUUGUAUUCCGUGACAUAAAUGUGAUGGCUUGUGAUGUUGAUGUGUCGCCUUUCAUGAUCACAAGCAUGAAUAAGCUCAAGUCAAGCAUCUUAUGUUGUACAGUGAUGUAGAAUGUUGUAUUCCGUGACAUAAAUGUGAUGGCUUGUGAUGCUGAUGUGUCACCUUUCAUGAUCACAAGCAUGAAUAAGCUCAAGUCAAGCAUCUUAUGUUGUACAGUGAUGUAGAAUGUUGUAUCCCGUCACUUAAAUGUGAUGGCUUGUGAUGUUGAUGUGCCACCUUUCAUUAUCACAAACAUGAACAAACUCAAAUCAAGCAUCUUAUGUUGUACAGUGUUAGUAGAAUGUUAUAUCCCGUGACUUAUAUGUGAUCACUUGUCAUAUGUAGUUGGUGUUUACUUAAAUGUCUUAGAUAUGUGUUAUAUCCUGUAACUUAUGAAAGUAGCCAGCACUGUGAUAUCCAUGGACAUUCUACAACACUGCUAUGUGAAUUUGAAGGCCACCUUUAAAAUAAUAUCCAAAAAGGUAUUUGAUAUAUAAUCACAAGUUUUAACCCUAUAUUUCAUAUGCAUAUGUUCAUACUCAUUGCUUAAUGAGUUUUCAUAGAAUGCAUAAUUCAAGUGUAAGGGAAACAAUUACCGAUUACCUCCCUUAGACUACUGCGAGUGUAUUCAUGCGGUUAAAGGAACCUGUAAAACUCUUAAACCUGUUGUAUACUUUAGAAUAGUAACAUAGUUACCAUUAUUUUGCUCAUUAAUAUUAGUUUUUAAACCGUGCUAUAAUCAGUGGAUCUUAUCUUAUAGAUUUCAAAGUAAUGAAUCUGGUAAGAAACAUUUCAUAAAAAUGUCACUUGGUUUAAAGGGCAUAUUAAAAAAUUAAGACUUAUUGUGCAGUUUAAGAAUUUUUUAGUUUAACAAAUUGCCUGCAUGUUAUAAAUGUACCUACCAUGGUGGCCAUUGCAGGUCUGCCCUUUACGGGUGUCCUAUUAUAGUCCAUGAAACGACUGUUAAAGUAUGCAAGAGCUUCGGGUUCUUUGUCAGGUCACACCGACGUGGGGUACGACGCUAUGCAGUCUCUCACCUUGGAAUAACCCUGUUAAAGUGAGCCGCACAUGUUCAGCUAUAUAGAACAUGUCCUUGUCUGGAGUCUCGUUGCUCUCGUACUUAUAGUAGUGUGGACGCUCAGAGGGAUACAAAAUCUGAUCACCCCAUCUAUUCAUGAUCAUUAUCUAGAUAUCACUUCUACCCAUAGUAGCAACAGCUUUGUAUACUUUGUUUCAUAAGCUUUCCAGAACCGUAUCCAGAUGUCUGAAUUUCAAAUCUAUUUUGAUUUUCAAACCCAGUGGAAUCUUUUUCAGUUUUAUAUCGAGACUGGCUAUUUUCUGGCGUAGACUUUAUACAGAAACUCACCGUGAUAUUACUGAAAGCGUCACACCAAACUCACUCAUGAUAAAACCUUGGUAGUAAUAAACUAUAUUGACUUAAUAAGAGAUAUUGUUGAUGUGACACAAAUGAAGAAACAGACAAAUAUAUUUUAUAUCUUAUGUAAUAUAACUCUCUGUAAAUAGAUAGAUUGUCUAAACUUAAAAUGACCUACUAGUCACUGUGACAUAGUUUAGUAUGUUGUUAUUGUAUAACAGUUGUUUACUAGCGAUUUUGAACAGCUCGCUUCUGAAUGAUAAGUAUCAUACUAUGAAUGUAGAAUGUGACAGUAAAGUGACAGUAAAGUUUUACAUGUGCUAAUACGUUAUGCAAAUUAUAUACCAACCUGAUAAUUGACAACUUGACGACAAUUUGUGUUUAAUGAACUUAGUGCAACUUCAAAACAAAACACCUAGUUGUAAAACACGUCCUAAUUGUAUGUAUGCCAUUUAAUUAUUUCAUUUAGUAAGUUAAUCCACGUAUUUAUUUAGAAAAACUUACUUUAUGUGGAUUUUACCUAUGUGUAGUAUUGUGAUAUAUGCAAAAACACAAUUUAUAUAAUUUCAUAUAAUAUAUGUUGUUUUGUACUUCUUCAAAAUGUCAAAUGUCAUUUCAUAUAAAUGUUCAUAUAUUAAAUUCAGCUAUGAGGGGUAUUUGCAAAUACUAGUGAAUUGUAUAAGUGUUGUUUUUCUUCAGGAAAAGCUUUGUCAAAUUAAUCAAAAUUUUGUAUAAUCAUGUUCGAGUCAUUUGUCAUGUGCAGGGUGAAUCCUAUAAACCGUUAUGUGUAACCGUCUACAAGUCAACAACCCACAGCGAUACACCACGUCAUAAAACAUAUUCUGCUGUUAUGCAUACUGAGAAGUUAUAAGUUUCGGUGUCCUCCCAUUUGUCAGAACUCCCAGUUGUGAGACACACAAAUGGGAGUAGACCAUAAGUUUCUAUUUCCUUCCAUCUGUACUUGUUACCUUUUUUUAUAAUUAUCAGGCGGAUAAACACCUUGUUUAUUUAUUCAACCAAUUGUUGAAAUACUUGUUAAUGCAUUGUUAUUUGGCACGAUGUUAUUAACCAAAGGCAUGUAGCAGUUUAUCCAUGAUUUUAACAAAUAAUUUAGGGGCUGAAACCAUUUCAUGUAAUGACAAAUAUGCACUAUGAAAUGUUCCUGUUUAGAAAGUACAUUGUCACAAAUUAUUUUCCAACUUAGUUUACACCAAUCAGAGACCCGAUCGAGGUGAUUCUAUGUUCUAUAUUAGGGCCUUGGUCUGUUAUAUCAUGUCAUACAUGCCAUGCAGGUCGCAUGACAAUAUUACUCAUGAUAUUCUUUAUGAUGUUGUUUCCAAAGAAACAAAGAGGUACAACAUAAAUCUUCUUUUUUUGAUCACUUUAUUUCUUUUUGAAAGGUACAGGGUAUUACAUGUUUAUAGACAUAAUCAAGUGAAUAAUUAGAGAUACAUGUACAUAUAAUAUAAUAACAAAGGGCUGGAAUUUAUGGAUGUCAGUUUCUUUAUUUGAGGAACACGAUGGAUCGGAGUAUAUUCUUACUCCUUCAUCAGGUGAAUGAACUAACUAGGAGUGAGUGAGUGAGUUAUUAUUUAACGUCAGAAAUAACUAGGAAGCAGAUAGCUGUAUAAGUACCUGUGUUGCAACAACCGUGAUAAGAUACAACGGGAAACCAGUAGUUACUUGGCGCUGAUUUGUAAUGGCAAUGAACAAAUAGAGGCCAGGAAUUAAUCCAGGCAUAUACAGUCAUAUAGAUAACAAUCCGUUCAAAGGCUGUAUAGACUUGCUAGUGUAAUAUUGCUGAUAUCAUAUAGCAUGUAUAUUGUGAUAUCCACACGUGGAUGGUUAAUGGAACUAUUGCGUUUGUAUCUUGUAAUUGGGUAUAUACACAUAUAAAGUCUUUACCAUCUAAGUCCGUGGAUCUUGAUCUUAAAUUGUUUACAUUUGUUUUGACUAUUUUGUUUACAUUUUUCUGUUUUUAAGGGCGUUUACCGUUUUCAGUCUAUUUUUAUAUGAUACACUCUGGAUAUAUUUACUGCCUAGUUCGUGUUCGACAUAAUGUAAGGGUAUAUCUGCUUUCCGUCCCUCUUGAUAUAUGUAAUAUUUACAUUAUCACUAUGUCAAACAUGUAAGAUUAUCUUUAAUAAGUUUAUUGUUUGAAGUUCUAAAAGUUGAGGAUAAUCAACUUCUUUAUUCUGUACAGGCGACGUUUCAACAUGGAUUCUACCGCUUGCUUGAUAACGACAUUAGAAUCUAUGUUGAAACGUCGCCUAUACAGAAUAAGAAAGUUGUAUAUCCAUAAAAUUUUGUCCUCGUUCUUCAAGUAAAUUGUUAUUUCAAGUUUAUUCUGAACGGGGCAUAAAAGAAUAUGUCCAAUAGACGACCGCCACAUAACUAUCAAUAAGAGAGCAUAACUAUGCGGAAAGCUUGAUGGACACGCAGUGCAGUUUUCCUCAAGAUAUAUUCUAUUCUUUUGUAUGGGGAAAACGAUCUGAUCACACAUAGUUCAUGCAUGUUUUAUAGAUUGUUAUGUUGGGACAGCAACGCCAGUGAUAGCUUGUUGUAACAGUUAAGUAGGUGAGAAUAUGUACUUUCAGGUGUUCGAUAUUGUACAACCCUAUUUCCGUCCCAUUUUUAAUAAUCUUUAUUGUUUAACAAAUAUUAUAAUAUUUAUAAUAUCUGUGUUACACUAAUUUGAUGUUUUUUUUAAACUAAUGCCUGUCCGUCCCAUUUAUAAUAAUAUUAAUGUUUAGCAAAUAUUAUAUUUAUAAUAUGUCUUACUAAAUUGAUGUUUAUUUAACUAACGCCUGUCCGUCCCAUUUAUAUCAAUAUUGCAUUGUUUAGCAAAUAUUAUAAUAUAAUAAAUAUCUAUAAUAUGUCUUAUUUGAUGUGUUUUUAACUAAUAUCUUCUGGUCCAAAGUCCUCUCUGGGAUUUUGUAUCUACUACCCUAUUCGCUAGUAGUGUGUCGUCAAUCUCUCUCCCUUUUCUCUCCUUUCUACCUCUGCAUUUCUCUCAACUCUCCCUCUCACUCACUCUCUUGCUCCUGUGUAUGUCCUCUCUGUCUUUUACUGUCUGUAUGUCCCUCACCCACCUCUCCUCUCUAGCACUGCCUCUGUAUGCGUCUCCCAAUCCCUCCUCUCUCUCUGUCUCUCUCCUCUGCGUGUGUAUCUGUGAGUGUAUCUGUGUGUGUAUCUGUGUGUUUCUCCCUGACCUGCUGAUCAAUCUGUCCAACGGUUCAAUUUAAGAUGCCAUAUAUAUUAUACAUAUGCUCGUAUUACGGAAACAUUAAGAAACAUCCAUUGCCUCCUCGCUAAUCUCAUUAAUAUUUGUAAAAACAAGAACUUCUGAAAGACAACGUUAUUUAAAAGCAGGUCAUCAUCUAUUUCUGUAUGGAGCAAUAAACCUCCCCAUUGCGUCCGAAACAUAUAAUCCGACUGUUUACCACUGUUAUGCUGGUUGACUUCAAGCUCAUUCCAGAUUCUCAUUAUAAUCUUUGUACACAAAUAUUGUUUAUUAGAAUAAACUCUGUUCCUUA
rnacentral:lncRNA from 1 species